rnacentral:lncRNA from 1 species
UGCACGACGGCGGCGGGGGGCCGGGGGGGGACCCCGCUCCCUUCCCCAUCACGGCACCUACCUUCAUCUCCUCGUUGAUCUCCCGCUUCACCGGGAUUCUGUUACCGAUGAGUCCGCGUGCGCAACCUCUCAUCAAACGCAAGAGGUGCUCCCAGGAUCUCAGCAUCUCUCUCCCAUGGCAGGGACGGGAUAGGCAGCACGAGGGGAAGUUGCUUAUAAGCACCGUCGUGUAGCGUCAGAGCUGCAGGUUUGAAAGCUCUGAGAGCCAACCUCACAGAACCUUCCUGCUCUGAGGCACCAGCACCUUGCUCAUUCACGAAAUCACUCUGAGGAAGAAGGCAAAAUGAAUUUUUGCAUUAGGGACACAUCACUGGUUUCUCCGUAGUGCUGAUAACACAACUUUAGUGAAAAUCUCGGACCUUUUGCUACACAGAAUAACCAUGUUGCCCUGAAUGGUUAUUGUUUAGUGAAACAUCUGAAAACACAUAAUAGACUACUUGUUUGCAACGCUUGCUAUAGAUUUUGUAAUGAAGUGCCGUUGCGCUGCAUCAAUUUGACAGUUCGAGUUGAUAAUUUGACAGAAAGAUUAAUCCUAAACUCCCAGCAUAAACAGAAUUCCCUUUAAUGUCAGAAGGGACUUUGUAACUGCCAGCCCAAACGCUGCGGAUGGGCUUCAGCAGGUUACAGAGAGCGUCUUCAGGAUCAAAUUUGACAUUCCUCUUCCUGACUAACAGUUGGUAGUUGAAAAUAGAACACCUCUCCCAGUUCUGAAUUCUGACCCUCACUUCUUGCUCACCCAAACCGAGGACUUCCAGACUUCUUUUCCCAAACGCUCACCGCGAAGGCUUUUGAAUGCAGAUGUUCACUCGUGUCUCCUGACAGUAGGCUCAGUUUUCUCAGCUACUUUUAGUAAGCUCCUAAAAACAGCCCACGGUCCCUCAGAACCUCAUCAACAACUGGCUAAAAGCCACGGUCUCACUAAGUUGUUCUUCCAGUGGCAACAUAUGGAGGACCAUCAACCGUCAAGACGGAAGUUCAUGCAACUGUCAAGACUGAAUUUCAUGCAUUCAGAAUGCUUAGGCACCAUCUGACACUCGUAGAGACCCUAACGUUAAAUACAUCUACUGAACUGUGACAGCACACAUUUCUUGUGUGAAAGCCUAUAUUUCUGAUAAGGAAACCUGGUUCAGCAGCGCUCAAUAUGGAUUCUGGAUAACAUCUUAAAGAGGCCAACCAGCCAUUCCGUGCAUACAGAAACACGCCUGUGAACUUCUCCCUGCAGUCAGCUCCUUCAGCUCCCCACUUCCACGCCAGUGAUGUUAUUUCACCCACACCUUGCAGAAGGGGCGCAUUCCACUCAUUCCUGAGCUGGGACGAGCGCCCGCAGCAUUACUCACCCACAGCAGUGUCUGUAGAUCCCUGUCUGCUGUGGAUACUAAUCUCAAUCCAGAGCUUCCUCAGACGAUUAGAGGCUGUUCUGCAAAAUGUCAAUACACAGCCUCUCCGAAGCCAACACGGUGUGGUGGUUGAAAUGGGAGCCGUGGAGGCUUUCCAAAUAUGAAGGUCUGGAAAUGUUUGGAGGUAUUUUAAUAUUGAUGAAUACUUCAGAUUUUUUUUUUUUCUGUUGCUUCAGUGUAUCAGUGUCAAAUCUGUGCGGAUUAAUGGCAAGACAGAGCCCUAGUACCAUUCGUGUCUAUCAAAGUUCUGGCAAAUGCUAACAACUUACUGCUAUUAAUGAUCACUCUUUGCCCAGAAGUUCACAUAAUUCAUCAAAAAGCCAACGUUGAUAAGCAGAAAGAAAUUAAAUACUUCUGAGUCUUCUGUUAAAAUGCCUUUCUUUUUACUUUGUUUAACAUCUAAUGUCUCCUACAGCAAAAGUAAGCAAGGGGAAGUCUUUUCCUUCUUCAGCACAAAAGAGCACCCACACCACUCAAAAACAGUUGAGAUUAAACCUUUGAAAAGGUAUCAGCAGUGUGUGUAAAGCCAAAUUGGUAAAGUGUGCCCUAGACACCACUUUUGACUCUGGGGAAAAUGCUUUAUCAUCUGUCUACUGCUACGCUCUGCCUAUUCAUCACCAUUACUCAGUAACUCUGCGGUGGCAGCUUUGUACUUAACAUGAAGCCAAAGAUCAGGGAGAGGCACACAUCAAACAAGACUUGAACUUGGAGAUGGCAAACCAUACGUUCUAGACCUCAUUCCUUUAAAGGACCGUACCUCGGAAUGAAACCUGUGAGCCUUUUCUAUAGUUUCAUUUGUUCAAUACAGUGCUCCACUUGUUCUGUAAAAGAAGUUGGCAAAAGCCCUGCUUUCCUGAGAUCUUGUCAUUCAUUGUGACUGAAACCUAAAAGGCUGUCCUAUGGUACUAAGGCAGGUCUGGGGUACCUGAGAGAUCUACCUGCUCCCUAUGCCUCCAUUCCACAUUCUUCACACACCUUGAAACCAAGGAACUGUCAAACACAGAAGCAAAGAUGGCGAGGGGUGUACACCCCCAUUCUUUGCAGCUUUCCAUGGCUGUAAAGUUCCCUGUGAAGUGACCCGAGAAUAUGUACAAUGACAGAAAACUCAUUUCUUCACUCGCCAUUUCUCAACAACAGCCAGUUCCAGCCCUUGUCAUUCUUCUACUUCUCCACACAGACGAAGGCAGGAGAGAAUUCUCUUGGUUUAACUUUAAUAAAUGGGUAAGUCUCACAGGCAUUACAAUGGUAGGAGGAGGUGCAGAAAAGUUGUGUGUGGUUGGGAUACGAUGGAAAUUUCUCUGUUAUUUUAAAAUUAUUUCUUCCUUUAUAAUAGAUCAUUUGUGCUUAUACACUCCUGAAAAUGCUUUUAUAGCAAUCUACAUCAAGUUCUUCCUAAAAAGCAUCCCUCCUCUUUUUGUCUUUUUGUGAAGAAUAGAUUUUUUUUUUACAAUAAAGAUAGUGGUUUAUACAUUUGCUCAUAAUUCUGUAUUUCCCCUGUGAGCUUUAUUACAUGAUAUAGUAUGUCAGUUUAAGUAACGUCUGUCAAGGGAUGGAAAACAAUUACAGGUUCUUUUCAUUCAUGAAAGUCAUUCUGGAGUUUCUUCAUCCUUAAUUUUCUUGUCAUGCUUUCAAAAACAUUACAUCAUUUUGUCCAAAUUCCCCCCUGCAUUGCUUAUACAAGAUACAGUAGGUUAUUAAUUUCUUUCCUAGACCCAAAGAAACACAUCGAAGUAUCUACAGUCGCACGUACUACAUGUUUUAGACCUGGUUAAAGUUGGGCUUUGACAUGUCGUUAUUUGACAAUUACUCUUCUAUUGCAGUGCUUGCUUUCCUGCCAGCAUCUCGCCAGAAUCCUGCAUGACAGGUGAUUCAAUCUCUUGAUCUCAGUUAGAUUUACACGAAUUUUACGCACCCUAAUAUAUAAUGGCAAUGCAUUCACACUGCUGUGGCUAAAAGUCUGUCGAAAUCCCAAACACAUCGUGAGAAUACAUAACAAAUAUAUUCAGGACUAGAACAUGUCAUAUAUUAUCAGCACAGGAAAACAUUCUUUGUUCUUAGAAUCAAAGAACAGCGGAGACUGAAAGGCUCUUGUGAAGAGGAACCUAACUUCCCUCCUCAAUGGUGAGUGUGUUGCUUAUGGCUGUGUUCAGUAAUGUUUCAAAUAUCUCCAAGGCAACCACAGCUUCUCAGGACAACCUGCUCCAGAGUUUGUUCACCCUUACAGUAAAAAGGGUUUAUCUUACAUUUAAAUGGAAUUUGCUGCAUUUCAAUUUGUGCCUGUUGCUGCUUGACUUUUCACUGAGAGGAGUGUGGCUCCACCUUCUCUUCCCCCUCCCAUCAGAUGUUUCUACACACCGAUGAAAUGCCCCCUGAGCCUCCUCCAGGUUGAGCAGACUUGGAUCUCUAAGCCUCUUCUCUUACAUCAGGUGCUCCAGUCUGUCAGUUAUUUCCGUAGUGCUGUGCUGCACUUGUUGCAGUGCAUCCCUGUCUAUUUUGUUCUGGGGAGCCCAGAACUGGACCCAGCACCCCAGAUAUGUCUCACCAGAGCUGAGAAGAGUGGAAGGAUCACCUCAUGUGACCUGUUGGCAAUGCUUUUCCUAAUGCAGCCCAAGCCUUUGCUGCAAGGGCGCCUUGUUGGCUAAUGUUCAGCUGGUUGGAUGCCAGCACCCCAGGGCCUGCUCUGCAAAGCUGCUUUCUAGUUGGUCUCCCACCUGUACUGCCGUAAGAUUAUUCCCUUCCAGGGGCAUGACUCUGUGCUGCUUUGUUGAACUCCGGGAGAUUCUUGUCGGCCCUUUUCUCCUGCAAUUUAUUCAAUUUGCUUUGAUUUAUAAACUUUUAAGCAAUUAGUAUGACUAUUAUCUGGAAAGAUUUUGAUUUCCUGAACUGUGCAGCUUUUUCUAAUUAAACCGUGCAGGUAACAUUAAUGAUAAUAAUCUAUGUCUCUUACUGCCAUAACCAAAAAUGAAUUUUCCUUAAAGACAGUCCCAAGAAUCCUUCUCAGCACAGGUAAGAAUUUUUUUUUCCAUUAGAACUGGACAAAUAUAUGUGUCUAUCUCAAUUCAAGAUUCUUGAAGCUGCAUUUGGUUAUGUAUUUCUUUUCACAAAGCUAUGCUUAAAGCAGAAUUGAUGC